GAAUCCUCUCCGGGAUGCUCUACACCUACUCAGCCACGCUCUCGAAAGGCGGCCCGUGGGUCGUUCUCGCCGCCGGCGCCGUUCAGUGCUUUGUGGGGUUCUUCCCCACAUGGCUGGCGGUUAUCGGGGCGAUUCAGCGGCCGCCAGUGGCGCUCAUGUGUUUGUACAUGUUUCUUGCAUCUCAUGGGCAGACGUUUAGUAACACUACGAAUGCGGUGGUCGGGGUGGAGAAUUUCCCGGAUUAUCGCGGGCUCGUCGUCGGGCUUAUGAAGGGCUUUCUGGGAUUAAGUGGAGCAAUCCUAAUUCAAGUAUACCGGACCUUCUUCAGCGGAAACCCGAGUUCGUUCAUCCUAAUGCUUGCGAUAUUACCAACAAUAGUCCCCUUAUUGCUCAUGUAUUUUGUAAGAGUUCACCCUUCAGACGGGUUAGACGAGAAGCCCCUCCUAGACGCAUUCUCACUCAUCACAGUAAUCAUAGCCGGUUUCCGUAUGCUUGUCAUCAUCGGUGAAAAUCUUCUGGUACUCGGAUCACUGGCCCGUGUCCUCAUGCUGGUAAUCCUUCUCAUGCUUCUUUUCUCUCCGGUCGCCAUUGUCAUCAAAGCUCAGUCGCGGGAAUUCAAGAAGCCUUCCGAAACUUUCCACCAUGAACAGAUCCGACUGAUUCCCGAAACCGAUCGACUCGAAGAUCAGAAGACGUAUCUCGCAUUACCAGAUAAGACUUGCAUGAGACAGGACACACCAAGCAAACUGAAACUGCCAUGUCGAACAAAGGCGGAUGAGGCAUCGAGCAGCGAGGUCCUCUUGCCAGAGGGCAAAGACAUGAAUCUGGGCAGAGACAUGAAUCUGUUCGAGGCCAUGCGGACGAUCGAUUUCUGGCUGCUGUUUGUAUCGAUGGCUUGCGGUAUGGGCACGGGGCUGGCCACUGUGAACAAUAUCAGCCAGAUAGGAGCUUCCCUUGGUUACCCGGGCACAUUUACGGGUACCUUAAUCUCUCUGUUUAGCAUAUGGAACUUUCUCGGGCGUUUUGGCAGCGGUUAUAUAUCUGAUCACUUACUUCAUCUGCGAGGAUGGGCGAGGCCAUUGUUCAUAGCGCUCACACUUGCGAUCAUGAGUUUUGGACAUGCAAUCAUCGCGGCUGCUCUGCCUGGUGCUCUGGUGAUUGGUUCUAUGUUAGUUGGUGUUUGCUAUGGAUCUCAAUGGUCGCUGAUGCCAAGCAUCACUUCUGAAAUAUUCGGUAUCAAGCACUUUGGCACCAUAUUCAAUACUAUAGCGAUCGCCAGCCCUAUGGGGUCUUAUAUAUUAUCUGUGCGAGUUGUGGGUUACAUAUAUGAUGGUGAAGCAGCUUCAGAAGGCACACUAGUGUGCACCGGUAGACACUGCUUCAUGCUCUCGUUUCUGAUUAUGGUAUGUGUGACGCUUUUUGGGUCUGUGGUCGCCUUGGUACUAUUUUUGAGGACAAGGAAGUUUUACAGGGAGGUCAUAUUUGUGAGACUGCAGGCGAGAAUCUUAAAAUGAGGUGCGGGAUUUUCAGGGUUGUUCUUGGGGCUCUUGUAGUUUUCAGUAUGGAUUGUGCUAUCAUCUAGUUUUUUUCUCUGUAUUGUUAGCACAACUGCGGUGGAUCGUGGAUCACCAUUCUGGUUGUAUCAAUCAUUUGGUGGAUCACCAUUCCUAUUGUAUCAAUU
rnacentral:misc_RNA from 1 species